CCCCAACCUGGACCCCAUCCAAUAGGCUCGUGGUCCCUGAUGGUCCUGGACCACUGAUUUGAGGCCUUUCUGCUUCCUUUGAUUCAGUCUUUGGCAGAGACCCAGGAGCAGGAGUCCUUGAUGGCACCUGGCCCUUUCUAGUCACCGACAAGGGAAACCUGAGAAACCAUUCUCAGAAAUGGAACUAAAUUGACACAGCAUUUGUCUCCUCCAGAGGAUACAGCACCAAGGCGCCAUCUUGGAAGUAGACUGGAGCUCUUAGCAGACCAGAACCUGUGGGCAUAUUAUGAAUAUUCAGUGAAACAACGUGUGUGCUCACCAGGCAGGAAGAGCUCAGCAAAUGGUGGCUGGUCUGGAAAUUAUUGUCAUCACUAUAAUCCUCAUCGACAUCCUCAGCCUUAUUGUCAUCAUCAUCAACCUCAUCAGUGUCAUCAUCAGCCUCAUCAACGUCAUCAUCAGCCUCAUCACUGUCAUCAUCAGCCCUUUGUCAUCAUCAUCAUCCACCUUGCUGUUCUCUUCCUUGUUGACAUCAUUAUCCUCAUCCUCCUCAUCACCAUCAACAGCAUUAUUUUUAUUUUUUAUUCUUCCACCUGUAAGAGUUUCUUUUCCUCCCUCUUAUUGUUUUCCUCUUGGGAUGACUAGUGGUGAAGGAAGUGUCAGAGGCAAUGACCUCACAGCUGUCGUUGCCAUGGGUGACACCUCCCAGAAAGAGCUUAUUGGAACUUUCAGUCCAGGGGAGUUUCUGCUGUUCCAGGAUGGAGGAAAUGUUCAAGAACUGUGGAGCAUCUGAGAUUUUUUUCCUACUUUUGAUGUCCACCUAGUCAAAGUUCAGCCCUCCAGGAUCUACAGGUGACCAAGAGCCUGCUGUCUGGUUAUGGAAGGUCUCAGCUUUGGUUGUGUCAGUGAAUGAAGACCAGGACAGUCACAGUUGUAUGAGGAGGCUGGGGGCAUCCCUUACAGUCCCUUUGAGGGAGGUGCAGUCCUUGUAGCUGGAUGACCAUAGAGAACCAGCUUCUCUGCUGAACCAGGUUCCCAAAGACACAGCUGAC
rnacentral:lncRNA from 1 species